rnacentral:rRNA from 1 species
UACCCAGUAGCGGGGGAUAACUACGCGAAAGCGUGGCUAAUACCGCAUACGCCCUACGGGGGAAAGGGGGGGAUCGCAAGACCUCUCACUAUUGGAGCGGCCGAUAUCGGAUUAGCUGGUUGGUGGGGUAAAGGCCUACCAAGGCGACGAUCCGUAGCUGGUUUGAGAGGACGACCAGCCACACUGGGACUGAGACACGGCCCAGACUCCUACGGGAGGCAGCAGUGGGGAAUUUUGGACAAUGGGGGAAACCCUGAUCCAGCCAUCCCGCGUGUGCGAUGAAGGCCUUCGGGUUGUAAAGCACUUUUGGCAGGGAAGAAACGGCCCGGGAUAAUACCCUGGGUUAAUGACGGUACCUGCAGAAUAAGCACCGGCUAACUACGUGCCAGCAGCCGCGGUAAUACGUAGGGUGCAAGCGUUAAUCGGAAUUACUGGGCGUAAAGCGUGCGCAGGCGGUUCGGAAAGAAAGGUGUGAAAUCCCAGGGCUUAACCUUGGAACUGCACUUUUAACUACCGGGCUAGAGUACGUCAGAGGGGGGUAGAAUUCCACGUGUAGCAGUGAAAUGCGUAGAGAUGUGGAGGAAUACC